UUUGUUUAUUUCUUCUCUAAUUAUUUCUUUCUUCUACUCAUUUUGGGUUUGGUUUGUUGUUGUUUUUCUAAGUUCUUGAGAUUCAUUGAUAGCUCAUUUAUUUUCUACCUUUCCCAUUUAUUCAUGUAGGCACUGAUUGCUAUAAGCUUCCCUCUUAACACAGCUUUUGCUGUAUCCCGUAAGUUUAGAUAUGAUUAAUUGUCAUCUCCACUUGUUUUCAGAAAUUUUUUUUAUUUUGGACAUAUGUUUUCAUCUCUUAGGUGUAUCCAGCAAUGGAAUUAUUGACUCACACAAUAAUUCUAUAUUUAACUUUUCGUGAAACUUCCAAACUCUUUCUAGUUUUUGUACCAUUUUACAUUCCUACCAGUAACCUAACAAGGCUCUUAUUGACCGAUGCCAAGGCUCACUAGGCUCCUAUUGCUCCACUGUGCCUAUAGUUGUAUUUCGUGUGUGUGUGUGCGUGUGUGUGUUUAAAGCCUUCCUAUUGUGUCAUAGUGGUACCUCACUAUGGUUUUGACUUUGUAAUUCUCUAAUAAUAUAAUAUUAAACAUCUUUUCAUAUGCUUAUUGGCCACUUGUAUAUCUUCUUUGGAAAAGUGUUCAUCCAAUUCCUUCUUUCCAUUUUUUAAAAUAUUUAUUUCUUUAUCUGUUUAUUUAUUUGAAAGGCAGAGCCAGAGAGAGAGAUCCUCAAUUUCACAAAUGGCUGCCACAGCUAAGGCUGAGCCAGGCUGUAACUAAGGGCCUGAAAUGUUUGGUUUUUUUGUUGUUGUUGUUGAGUUGUAGAACUCCUUUUAUUUAUUCUGGCUAUUAAAUAUGAAGUGUAUGAUACUUUACAUAAUAUAUGUCUUGCAAAUAUUUUCUCCCAUUUUAUGUUACCUUUUUACAUUUUUGGUACUGUUCUUUGAUGCAUGAAAAUUUUUCAUUUUUAUGUAUUCCAGUUGAUCUGCUUUAUCUUUUGUAGUUCAUACAUUUAGUUCCAAAUUUAAGAGUCUCUGGCCAAAUCCAAUAUCAUGUAUUUUAAUACUUUUGUUUUCUUCUAGGAGUUUUGUAGUUGUAGCUCCUAAAUCUAGAUUGUUGGGUCGUUGUGAGGUAGUUUUCAUAUAUGGAGUGAAAUAGGAGUCCAACUUUAUUCUUUUGCAUGUGGAUAGCCAGUUGGCCCAGUACCACUUGUUAAAGAGGCUAUUCUUUCCCCAGUGUCUUCAAACCACUGAAAAUCAUUUGCCCAUACAUGUUGGUGUUUAUUUCUGUGCUUUCAAUUCUGUUCCAUUGGUCUAUAGAUCUCUUAUGCUAGUACUACACUCUUUUUUUUUUUUUUAAGAUUUAUUUUAUUUAUUUGAAAGAGAGAGUUACAGAGAGAGGUAGAGACAGAGAGAGGCCUUCCAUCUGCUGGAUCACUCCUUAGAUGGCCAGCAGAGCUGUGCCGAUCUGAAGCCAGGAGCCAGGAACUUCCCCUGGGUCCUUCUAUGUCUUUCUGUGUCAGCAUUAAAACAAAUAGUUUUGGCUAUUUAGGGCUCCUUGAAGACCCAUGUAAAUUUGAGAGAUUGAUUUUUCUGUCUUUGCACAAAAGGCCACUAGAAUUUUCUUGGGGUUGUGUUGAAACUGUAGAUUUCUUUAAGAUCACCAUUUUUACAAUAUUAAGAGUUCUGAUCUAUAGAUAUUGAACAUCUUUCUUUAUUUAGUUCUUUCUUAACUUCUUCCUAUAACAUUUUGCAAUUUCCAGUAUACAAAUCUUUCAACUCUUUGGUUAAAUUUAUUCUUACAUAUUUUAUUCUCUUGAUGUUAUUAUAAAUAUAAUUGUUUUCUUAAUUUCUUUUCUGGAUUGUUCAUUAGUGGUAGAUAGAAAGUUAUUUUGUGGGGGCUGGUAUUGUGACAUAGCAGGUAAAGCCACUGCCUGUGUUACUGGUUGUGUUCUGGUUGCUCCACUUCUGAUCCAGCUUCCUGCUGAUGGCCUGGGAAAAGCAGCAGAUGGUGUUCCAAAUGUUUGGGCCCAUUCUACCCAUGUGGGAGACCCAGAUGAAGCUCCUGUACCUGGCUUCUACUUGAAUCAACUCUGAUCAUUGAAACCAUCUGGGGAAUGAACCAGCAGAUGGAAGAUAUCUCUGUGUCUCUCCCUCCCUCUCUGUAACUCUGACUUUCAAAUAAAUAAAUACACCCUUUAAAAAAAAAAGUGACUUUGUGUGUUAACCCUGCAACUGUGCUGAAUUUGUUAGGUCUAGUAGUGUGUGUAUGUGUGUGUGUGUAAUUCCAUGGUAUUUUCUAUAUAGAAAAUCAUAUUGUUUAUAAAUAAAGAUAGUGUUACUUCUGACUUCCAAUUUGAAUGACCUAUUUCUUUUUCUUGCCAAAUAUAUCUGGCUAGGUCUUCCAGUGCAAUGUUAAAUAGCUGGAGUGAAAGCAGGUAUCUUUAUCUUGUUCCUUCUUUUGCAAAAAUGAUUUAUUAUAAAAAGAAUUCAUGUGUAUAUAUUGGCAAUUAUAAAGAAAUUAAAGUUGCAAAAUGAUCCACAAAUGUUCCUACCUGUUCUUCCCUUUUUUCCAUAGUUGUUUCUCAUUGUUUUUGAACUUGAUACUGCUUUCAAUUUUCUAAUAAUCCUUUAGGACUAGUAACUAAUCCCAGGGAACAACAAUGUUCAAGGAGUACCUAUUGAUUAUGAUGAGGAAAGGAGGAAUUUUAUCAAGAAGAAAUGAGCUAUUAAAAUCUAUGGCUUGUCUUCCAAGAAACUCAGUUUAUCCAUGAUUCUUCCAGCAGUGAAACAAAACAAAACAAAAUGAGAUGAGUGAGAGCACUAGCCACAAGAAGAAUGAAGUCUAAGAAGAUGGAUAGACCAAUGGAACAGAAUUGAAAUACCAGAAAUCAACCCAAACAUCUACAGCCAACUUAUAUUCGAUCAAGGAUCUAAAACUAAUUCCUGGAGCAAGGACAGUCUAUUCAAUAAAUGGUGCUGGGAAAAUUGGAUUUCCACGUGCAGAAUCAUGAAGCAAGACCCCUACCUUACACCUUACACAAAAAUCCACUCAACAUGGAUUAAAGACCUAAAUCUACGACCUGACACCAUCAAGUUACUAGAGAACAUUGGAGAAACCCUUCAAGAUAUUGGCACAGGCAAAGAGUUUCUGGAAAAGACCCGGGAGGCACAGGCAGUCAAAGCCAAAAUUAACUAUUGGGAUUGCAUCAAAUUGAGAAGUUUCUGUACUGCAAAAGAAACAGUCAGGAGAGUGAAGAGACAACCGACAGAAUGGGAAAAAAUAUUUGCAAACUAUGCAACAGAUAAAGGGUUAAUAACCAGAAUCUACAAGGAGAUCAAGAAACUCCACAAAAACAAAACCAACAACCCAAUUAGGAGAUGGGCCAAGGACCUCAAUAGACAUUUUUCAAAAGAGGAAAUCCAAAUGGCCAACAGGCACAUGAAAAAAUGUUCAAGGUCAUUAGCAAUCAGGGAAAUGCAAAUCAAAACCACAAUGAGGUUUCACCUCACCCCGGUUAGAAUGGCUCACAUACAGAAAUCCACCAACAACAGAUGCUGGCGAGGAUGUGGGGAAAAAGGGACACUAACCCACUGUUGGUGGGAAUGCAAGCUGGUCAAGCCACUAUGGAAGUCAGUCUGGAGAUCCCUCAGGAACCUGAAGAUAACCCUACCGUUCGACCCAGCCAUCCCACUCCUUGGAAUUUACCCAAAGGAAUUUAAAUUGGCAAACAAAAAAGCAGUCUGCAGCCUAAUGUUUAUUGCAGCUCAAUUCACAAUAGCUAAGACCUGGAACCAACCUAAAUGCCCAUCGACGGUAGACUGGAUAAAGAAAUUAUGGGAUAUGUACUCUUUAGAAUACUAUACCGCAGUAAGAAACAACGAAAUCCAGUCAUUUGCAACAAAAUGGAGGAAUCUGGAACACAUCAUGCUGAGUGAAAUAAGCCAGUCCCAAAGGGACAAAUACCAUAUGUUCUCCCUGAUUGGUGACAACUGACUGAACACCAAAAAGGAAACCUGUUGAAGUGGAAUGGACACUAUGGGAAACGGUGACUUGUUCAGCAUAGCCCUGACUGUUAAUGAACAACUUAAUACAUUAUCCCUCUUAGUAGUUUUUUUGUCUGUUCUACUUAAUAUGACUGGUUUAAUUCUGUAAUUAAUACACAGUUAUUCUUAAGUGUUGAAAUUUAACUGAAAUGUGAUCCCUGUUAAACACAAGAGUAGGAAUAAGAGAGGGAAGAGAUGUAUAAUUUGGGACAUGCUCAAGCUGACUUGCCCCAAAUGGUAGAGUUAGAAACAUACCAGGGUACUCCAAUUUAAUCCCAUCAAGGUGGCAUGUACCAAUGCCAUCUCACUAGUCCAAGUGAUCAAUUUCAGUUCACUAUUGAUCAUAAUGAAAGGACUAAGAGUCAAAGGGAGCACAUAAGCAAGUCUAGUACCUGCUAACACUAACCGAUAGAAUAAAUAAAGGGGAGAGUGAUCCAACAUGGGAAGUGAGAUACUCAGCAGACUCAUAGAAUGGCAGAUGUCCUAAACAGCACUCUGGCCUCAGAAUAAGCCCUAAAGGCAUUCGGAUCUGGCUGAAAAGCCCAUGAGAGUAUUUCAGGCAUGGAAAGCCAAGACACUCUGGCAAAAGAUCUCUAUGAGUGAGAUCUCAGUGGAAAGAACAGGUCUUCAAAGAAGGAGGUACCUUUCUCUGAAGGGAGGAGAGAACCUCCACUUUGACUAUGACCUUGUCUAAACAAGAUAAGAAUCGGAGAACUCAGAGGGCUUCCAUAGCCUUGGAAACUCAUGACUGGAGCAUAGGGAGAUUACUGAUGCCAUAGACAGGAGUGUCAAUUGGUAAAGUCAACAACAGGAGUCACUGUGCACUUACUCCUCAUGUAGGAUCUCUGUCCUUAAUGUGCUGUGCAUUGAAAUUUAAUGCUAUAACGAGUACUCAAACAGUAUAUUUCACUUUGUGUUUCUAUGGGGGUGCAAACUGUUGAAAUCUUUACUUAAUGCAUACUAAACUGAUCCUCUGUAAAAAAAAAAAAAAAAAAAAAAAAAGAAAAGAAA